CGUGCCUAACGCAUGCAAGUCGAACGGGAAUAGGAUGAAACCUAGUGAUUCCUAUUCUAGUGGCGGACGGGUGAGUAACGCGUGGGUAACCUGCCUUGCACUGGGGGAUAACACUUAGAAAUAGGUGCUAAUACCGCAUAAGCGCACAGAACCGCAUGGUUCGGUGUGAAAAACUCCGGUGGUGUAAGAUGGACCCGCGUCUGAUUAGCUGGUUGGUGAGGUAACGGCUCACCAAGGCGACGAUCAGUAGCCGGCCUGAGAGGGUGAACGGCCACAUUGGGACUGAGACACGGCCCAAACUCCUACGGGAGGCAGCAGUGGGGAAUAUUGCACAAUGGGGGAAACCCUGAUGCAGCAACGCCGCGUGAGUGAAGAAGUCAUUCGUGAUGUAAAGCUCUAUCAGCAGGGAAGAAAAUGACGGUACCUGACUAAGAAGCCCCGGCUAACUACGUGCCAGCAGCCGCGGUAAUACGUAGGGGGCAAGCGUUAUCCGGAUUUACUGGGUGUAAAGGGAGCGUAGACGGCGACGCAAGUCUGAAGUGAAAUGCCAGUGCUCAACACUGGAACUGCUUUGGAAACUGUGUAGCUAGAGUGCAGGAGAGGUAAGUGGAAUUCCUAGUGUAGCGGUGAAAUGCGUAGAUAUUAGGAGGAACACCAGUGGCGAAGGCGGCUUACUGGACUGUAACUGACGUUGAGGCUCGAAGGCGUGGGGAGCAAACAGGAUUAGAUACCCUGGUAGUCCACGCGGUAAACGAUGAUUACUAGGUGUCGGGGGGCUAUAGCCCUUCGGUGCCGCCGCAAACGCAAUAAGUAAUCCAUCUUGGGGAGUACGUUCGCAAGAAUGAAACUCAAAGGAAUUGACGGGGACCCGCACAAGCGGUGGAGCAUGUGGUUUAAUCCGAAGCAACGCGAAGAACCUUACCAAGUCUUGACAUCUGGAUGACAGGGACGUAACGGUCCCCUUACUUCGGUACAUCCAAGACAGGUGGUGCAUGGUUGUCGUCAGCUCGUGUCGUGAGAUGUUGGGUUAAGUCCCGCAACGAGCGCAACCCUUAUCUUCAGUAGCCAGCAGGUAAAGCCGGGCACUCUGGAGAGACUGCCGGGGAUAACCCGGAGGAAGGUGGGGAUGACGUCAAAUCAUCAUGCCCCUUAUGAUUUGGGCUACACACGUGCUACAAUGGCGUAAACAGAGGGAAGCGAGCCCGCGAGGGGGAGCAAAUCCCAAAAAUAACGUCCCAGUUCGGAUUGUAGUCUGCAACCCGACUACAUGAAGCUGGAAUCGCUAGUAAUCGCGAAUCAGAAUGCCGCGGUGAAUACGUUCCCGGGUCUUG
rnacentral:rRNA from 1 species